rnacentral:rRNA from 1 species
GAUGAACGCUGGCGGCGUGCCUAAUACAUGCAAGUCGAGCGAACAGGCGAGGAGCUUGCUCCUCUGACGUUAGCGGCGGACGGGUGAGUAACACGUGGAUAACCUACCUAUAAGACUGGGAUAACUUCGGGAAACCGGAGCUAAUACCGGAUAAUAUAUUGAACCGCAUGGUUCAAUAGUGAAAGACGGUUUUGCUGUCACUUAUAGAUGGAUCCGCGCCGCAUUAGCUAGUUGGUAAGGUAACGGCUUACCAAGGCAACGAUGCGUAGCCGACCUGACAGGGUGAUCGGCCACACUGGAACUGAGACACGGUCCAGACUCCUACGGGAGGCAGCAGUAGGGAAUCGUCCGCAGUGGGCGAAAGCCUGACGGAGCAACGCCGCGUGAGUGAUGAAGGUCUUCGGAUCGUAAAACUCUGUUAUUAGGGAAGAACAAAUGUGUAAGUAACUAUGCACGUCUUGACGGUACCUAAUCAGAAAGCCACGGCUAACUACGUG